rnacentral:rRNA from 1 species
ACUCAAAUGAAUAGACGGGGACCCGCACAAGCAGGGGAGCGUGUGGUUUAAUUCGAUACAAAGCGAAAAACCUCACCCAGGUUUGACAUGGAGCUGCAAGCGCACGGAAACGUGUGAUCUUCGAGAGUGCUCCACAGGUGCUGCAUGGCUGUCGUCAGCUCGUACCGUGAGGCGUUGGUUUAAGUACCGCAACGAGCGCAACCCCCGCCGUUAGUUGUAUCACACUACCGGAACUGCCUGUUGUAUAAACAGGAGGAAGGUGGGGAUGAUGUCAAGUCAGCACGGCCCUUAUGUCUGGGGCUACACACACCCUACAAUGGUGCCAACAAUGGGAUGCAACACAGCGAUGUGAAGCUAAUCCCUUAAAUGGUACCUCAGUUCAGAUUGCAGGCUGAAACCCGCCUGCAUGAAGGAGGACUUGCUAGUAAUCGCGGAUCAGCAGGCCGCGGUGAAUACGUUCUCGGGUCUUGUACACACCGCCCGU